rnacentral:misc_RNA from 1 species
GAUGAAGAACGUAGCGAAAUGCGAUAAGUAAUGUGAGUUGCAGAAUUCAGUGAAUCAUCGAAUCUUUGAACGCACAUUGCGCCCCUUGGUAUUCCGAGGGGCAUGCCUGUUCGAGCGUCAUUAUAACCCCUCAAGCUCAGCUUGGUGUUGGGGCCUGCCGCACGGGCAGCCCUUAAAAUCAGUGGCGGUGCCAUCUGGCUCUAAGCGUAGUAAUUCUUCUCGCUAUAGAGUCCCGGUGGAUGCUUGCCAUUAACCCCCAAUUUUCUAUGGUUGACCUCGGAUCAGGUAGGGAUACCCGCUGAACUUAAGCAUAUCAAUAAGCGGAGGA